rnacentral:rRNA from 1 species
UACGAAGGGGGCUAGCGUUGCUCGGAAUCACUGGGCGUAAAGCGCACGUAGGCGGCUUGUUAAGUCAGGGGUGAAAUCCUGGAGCUCAACUCCAGAACUGCCUUUGAUACUGGCGAUCUCGAGUCCGGGGGAGGUGAGUGGAACUGCGAGUGUAGAGGUGAAAUUCGUAGAUAUUCGCAAGAACACCAGUGGCGAAGGCGGCUCACUGGCCCGGUACUGACGCUGAGGUGCGAAAGCGUGGGGAGCAAACAGG